GACGAACGCUGGCGGCGUGCUUAACACAUGCAAGUCGAACGGUGAAGCGCUUGCCUUUUUGGUGGGUGUGGAUGAGUGGCGAACGGGUGAGUAACACGUGAGUAACCUGCCCUCUUCUUCUGGAUAACCUCAUGAAAGUGGGGCUAAUACGGGGUAUUCCGGGUCUGUCGCAUGGCGGGUUUGGGAAAGAUUGCGCCUUUGGGUGUUUUCGGUGGGGGAUGGGCUCGCGGCCUAUCAGCUUGUUGGUGGGGUGAUGGCCUACCAAGGCGGUGACGGGUAGCCGGCCUGAGAGGGUGGACGGCCAAACUGGGACUGAGACACGGCCCAGACUCCUGCGGGAGGCAGCAGUGGGGAAUAUUGCACAAUGGGCGCAAGCCUGAGGCAGCGACGCCGCGUGAGGGAUGGAGGCCUUCGGGUUGUGAACCUCUUUCGCCAGUGAAGCAGGCCUGCUUCUGUGUGGGUGGGUUGACGGUAGCUGGAUAAGAAGCGCCGGCUAACUACGUG
rnacentral:rRNA from 1 species